UUCUUCUUCUUAUUAUUAUUAUUUAUUUUCUUGCUGAGGUCAUUUGUUUAUUUGAGUGUGGUUUUCAUGUUUCAAAUUUUGAUUGUGUGCCUUAGUUGAAUUUCUGAAGACAUUGCAACUUUUCAAGUAUUAUUAAGGGGACCUAGAGCAUCUCCGUGAUAUGUUUAUGUUGGCUUUCAUGCCUUAAGCUAUUUCGGGGCCGAGGUCUUGUUGUUGGCAAUCCUAAAGUCAAUUAGUCCAUAUUAAAGAUGUUUAGCUUUUUACCACCAUGAAGUUCUUGUCUGAGUUGCUUGAAAUCAGCUCCUGGUUUCAUCUUUGAUCUUUCUACCAUGCACUUAAUAAAACCUAUAGAUUACAGAGCUAGUAAAAAAAGUUUGGCGGACACGUUAAAAGGUUGAUUCCCAUGCAACCUACAUGCAAGAAAGCAACAUUAACUUUUAUUUGCUGAGGUUUGAUUCUGAGCUAGUUUGGCAUUGUUAUCUAACAGUGUUAAUAUAUUAUAUUACACCGAAGUAGGAAAUUAUGACAAGGAAUUACACUCACUGGUUGUGGUUUCUAGUACAUGAAAGUCUCUGUUUCCAAAAUUUUGAUUUUUGGCCAAUCUUGUACUGUCCUUACUGGUGGUAUAGUGUAUAAAGAAGUGUCAACUCGCACUCAGCCCUUGUUUUCCGUACUCUUUAACGCUAAUUAAACUUUUUGAGGAACAUGGGGCCGUUUCAUCCUUUUUAAUAGAAGUAUGCAUAGUUCACCUGUUUAUGUAUGUAUCAAAUGUAAGGGAAAAUACUUACUGGAAAUUAUAGUCUCAUGUCUCUAAGCAUUUUAUGGCAUUAGUUUAUGAAGUAACUAAUGGGCAGGCAUGACUGACUUAAAACACGUGUAUGCAAUUAGUUAAAAUUGAGUAGGUUAGAUAACAGAAAUAUUGCAUGCAUCAAGUGAUUAAGCUGUUACCAUGAUUACAAGCUUUCUUUAUUACACAGAGAGAGAGAGAGAGA
rnacentral:misc_RNA from 1 species